CCACCGGAACCGGCCGGGCCCGCGCGCAGGCGCGCCGGGGGCAGCCCCAACAAGGGCCCCGCGCCGCGCCAGGCAGGCGCUGCCGAGGACACCCCCGGGCGCGCCAGGACCCGCGGAGGGGGAGGAGCCACAGCUGAAGGGGAGGAGCCACAGCUGAGGGAACCGCCCCUCACGAGCCUGGGGGGGAUCGGAGACCCCCUGAGGGGACCUGAGACCCCCUGAGGGAAUCCGAGACCUCCCGAGCCCCUGAGGGGAUCGGAGACCCCCCCCAACCCUCUGAGGGGACACGGAUCGCCACCCACCUCUGAGGGGAUCUGAGAUCCACCCGAGCCGAUCUAAAACCCCCUACCCUCUGAGGGAAUCUGCCCCUAUAAGCACUCCCUCUGAGGGGAUUCCCCGCUCAAUCCACCCCUCUGAGGGGAUCUGAAACCCCCCGCACCCGUCUGUGAGAUGUUGAAGCCAUGCCUGUGCAGGGCAGAAAUGAAAGAUGAGUGAAAAAUGUCUCAUUUUCACAACUGAGCGUAGAGAGGGUGUUGCAGAGGUAAGAGUAGUAAUUUCUGCCAGUUCGUGGAAAUCAAAGACCCAAAAUUGAGGCAGGCACUGCCUGGCCAGUGGGAGCUGGAAGUUUUCUGUCUUAGCAUAUCUCCUGGGAAAUGGUGCAUGUAGAGAGGCUGGGGACAGUCAUCACAGUGGGGAGUGGUGAGGGACAUCCUUAGGUCACUGCUUUUAUCCAAUGUGCAUGUGCAGCCAGCACAAGACUGAGCUGUGCCUCUGGCAGUAAGUUUGGGGUGACUGCAGGUAUAGGAAGUAGUUUUGUUUUCCAUUUUAAGCAGCUUCUGGAUUUGACACACCUCUUUCCACAGAUCUGCAGACUUUGUUAUUGUACACAGAGCUAUAAGGUUUGGCUUACGUUGAAAGCACGUAAUAGGUGAUAAACUGGUUUAAGUCUUUCUCAAGGUUUUAUUGAAAUCAGUGUCCUUGCCUGUAACUGGGUAGCAUCAAGGCCCCAUGUAAAGAAGUUCAGGUUUUUAUGCUGCUUUUCAGCAGAAACACAGAAAUAUUGUUCCCAAUGUAUGAAGCCACCAGCAAAUCACUUAAAACUGAAGUGGAUGUUUUAGAUCUGAAUUUGGAUUAACUCUCCUCUCUGGGUAAUAUCACAGAAUCACACAAUCGUUAAGGUUGUAAAAGACCUUUGAGAUCAUCAAGUCCAACUGCCAACCCAGCAGCACCACAAUGUCCUCAAGUGCCACAUCCACACACUUCUUUAACGCUUCCAGGGAUGGUGACUCCCCCACUUCCCUGGACAGCUUGUUCCACUGCUGUGAAGAGAUUUUCCCCAGUAUCCAAUGUAAACCUCCCCUGGCAGCCUGAGGCCAUUUCCUCUCAUCCUGGCCCUUGUUCCCUGGGAGCAGAGCCUGACCCCCACCUGGCCACAGCCUCCUGUCAGGGAGGUGUAGAGAGUGAGAAGGUUCCCCCUGAGCCUCCUUUUCUCCAGGCUGAACCCUGCCAGCUCCUCACAAGACUUGUGCUCCAGACCUUUUCCCAGCUCCAUUCCUUUCUCUGGACUCACUCCAGCAGCUCGACGUCCUUCUCGCAGUGAGAAUCACAAGGUAUUGCCUUGUCUUGGCUAUUUUGCCUGGAAUUUCAGGAACAUACAGUACCAACAUUAUCAAUUAUAGCCACAGUUUCCAUAUUUAUAAAUGGCUGUGUCACAUUUGAGACAGAAGUCUCAUUAAACACAUUGUUCAUACCUCA